CCUACGGGUGGCAGCAGUGGGGGAUUUUGCACAAUGGGGGGAACCCUGAUGCAGCGACGCCGCGUGAGCGAUGGAGUACUUCGGUAUGUAAAGCUCUGUCAGCAGGGAAGAAAAUGACGGUACCUGACCAAGAAGCCCCGGCGAAAUACGUGCCAGCAGCCGCGGUCAUACGUAUGGGGCAAUCGUUAUCCGGAUUUACUGGGUGUAAAGGGAGCGUAGGCGGCAGGGCAAGCCGGAUGUGAAAGUCCGGGGCGCAACCCCGGGACUGCAUUGGUAACUGCGCUGCUGGAGUGCCGGAGGGGGAGGCGGAAUUCCUAGUGUAGCGGUGAAAUGCGUAGAUAUUAGGAGGAACACCAGUGGCGAAGGCGGCCUGCUGGACGGUGACUGACGCUGAGGCUCGAAGGCGUGGGGAGCAAACGGGAUUAGAUACCCGAGUAGUC
rnacentral:rRNA from 1 species